rnacentral:rRNA from 1 species
GACGAACGCUGGCGGCGUGCCUAAUACAUGCAAGUAGAACGCUGAAGCGAGGAGCUUGCUCUUCUUGGAUGAGUUGCGAACGGGUGAGUAACGCGUAGGUAACCUGCCUUGUAGCGGGGGAUAACUAUUGGAAACGAUAGCUAAUACCGCAUAACAAUGGAUGACACAUGUCAUUUAUUUGAAAGGGGCAAUUGCUCCACUACAAGAUGGACCUGCGUUGUAUUAGCUAGUAGGUGAGGUAAUGGCUCACUUAGGCGACGAUACAUAGCCGACCGGAGAGGGUGAUCGGCCACACUGGGACUGAGACACGGCCCAGACUCCUACGGGAGGCAGCAGUAGGGAAUCUUCGGCAAUGGGGGCAACCCUGACCGAGCAACGCCGCGUGAGUGAAGAAGGUUUUCGGAUCGUAAAGCUCUGUUGUAAGUCAAGAACGGGUGUGAGAGUGGAAAGUUCACACUGUGACGGUAGCUUACCAGAAAGGGACGGCUAACUACGUG